GUUCGACCUCUGAGGUUGUAUCAAGCUGCGCACUGCGGAGCAUUUUAUUAUAUUUAUAAGAAUCUACAUGUAUAAGGUAUUAUCAACAAAUAAUAUUUCAUUCAGUGAGUGUUGAUCGCAAGCUAAUUAAUUUUCAAAUGUGUUGCCGAAGUUUACUGGAUAGUGACAUUCAUAAACAAUCAACACAGAGCACGUGGUAGCCUUUUCAAUAGUCGUCUGGCGCGAAAACAAAUGGAAAAAGGCCGAUAACUCAAUUUUAGAAUUUAAUAUUUUCGGAGACAGUCAAUUUCCAGAAUUGCAUGCUUUAUCAUCACCAUUUUUUCUUUGGCCGUCAAUGAUGACACUAUUGCUGCAUUCUUUGACAAUAAGGUAUAUUUAACAAGACAGUAUUAUCAAUGUAUUAUCGUGGUAUCAACAUAUGUUAGCAAUGUUAGAUACCUGAAUUAAUUCUAAUUUUGGCAAGGACAAUUCAUCACUUCCCCGGAAAACAUGAUUUUGUACAAGUUCACUUUUCGGCAUCUCCAGGCAGCAAAGCAGAUCAAAUUCCUGAUGAUUUUUACUACGGCAUUCUGCUUUUUAUUCGACCGCAAAAAAUUUUUGUGGUCGUAUAUUGGUAUGACGUUGUCGUCGUCGUCGUCCGAAGACACAUUGGAUCGGAGCAUUUUAUUAUCAUUUACCAUAAGGUUCAAUACCACAAAAGGAAGGUUGGGAUUGAUUUUGGGGGUUAUAAUUAUGGUACCAACAGUUAAGGAAUUAAGUGCCAAAAAUAAGCAUUUUUGUAACUUCCAGACAUAACUUGUGUGUUAGUGUAUGGAUCUCUCUGACAUUGUACCACAAGGUUCCAUAUCACUAAAGGAAUGCUGGGAUUGAUUUUGGGGGUAAUUGCCUCCAAAUUUUAGGAAUUAGGGGCCAAAAAAGGGGCAAAAAACAAGCAUUUUUCUAGUUUCAUGACAAUAACUUGUGUGUAAGUGUAUGGAUCUUUCUGAAAUUGUACUACAAGGUUCCAUAUCACAAAGGGAAAGCUGGGUUUGAGUUUGGGGGUAAUUGCCCUAAACGUUUAGGAAUUUGGGGCCAAAAAGGGGCCAAAAAACACAUUUUUUUCUAGUUUCCAGACAAUAACUUGUGUUCAAGUGUAUGGAUCUCUCUGAAAUUGUACUGCAAGGUACCAUACCACAAAGGGAAGGCUGGGAUUGAGUUUGGGGGGUGAUGAAUCAUAAUGGGGGUUCAAAAAAUUUUGGGGGGGGAUUUAUUUUUUUUUCCUUUUUUUCUUUUUUUCCUUUUUUGUUUCUUUUAAAAUUUUCCAUUUUAAGUUGGUUAUUUCUGAUUUAUAUUUAAAAUCAAAUAAUAAUGAUAUGGUAGGAGAUACACACCAAACAGGAUGUGUAAAUUAUUAUAUAAUAAGUAUUGUGCAAUAGCAAGAAAUUUUCAAUUGCACAGUAUUGCACAAUAGCAAGAAAUCUUCAAUUGCACAGUAUUGCGCAAUAGCAAGAAAUCUUCAAUUG